CUACACAUGCAAGUCGAGCGGUAAGGCCCUUCGGGGUACACGAGCGGCGAACGGGUGAGUAACACGUGAGCAAUCUGCCCUUCUCUUUGGAAUAACCAUUGGAAACGAUGGCUAAUGCCGAAUAUGACCUCCUUUCGCAUGUUUGGAGGUGGAAAGCUCCGGCGGAGAAGGAUGAGCUCGCGGCCUAUCAGCUUGUUGGUGAGGUAAUGGCUCACCAAGGCAUUGACGGGUAGCCGGCCUGAGAGGGUGACCGGCCACACUGGGACUGAGACACGGCCCAGACUCCUACGGGAGGCAGCAGUGGGGAAUAUUGGACAAUGGGCGAAAGCCUGAUCCAGCAACGCCGCGUGAGGGAUGACGGCCUUCGGGUUGUAAACCUCUUUCAGCAGGGACGAAGCGAGAGUGACGGUACCUGCAGAAGAAGGACCGGCCAACUACGUGCCAGCAGCCGCGGUAAUACGUAGGGUCCGAGCGUUGUCCGGAAUUAUUGGGCGUAAAGGGCUCGUAGGCGGUUUGUCGCGUCGGGAGUGAAAACUCAGGGCUCAACCCUGAGCGUGCUUCCGAUACGGGCAGACUAGAGGUAUGCAGGGGAGAACGGAAUUCCUGGUGUAGCGGUGGAAUGCGCAGAUAUCAGGAGGAACACCGGUGGCGAAGGCGGUUCUCUGGGCAUUACCUGACGCUGAGGAGCGAAAGCAUGGGGAGCGAACAGGAUUAGAUACCCUGGUAGUCCAUGCCGUAAACGUUGGGCGCUAGGUGUGGGGACCUUCCACGGUCUCCGUGCCGCA
rnacentral:rRNA from 2 species